rnacentral:rRNA from 7 species
CCACUUUGUGGUUCAUGACUGGGGUGAAGUCGUAACAAGGUAGCGCUAGGGGAACCUGGCGCUGGAUCACCUCCUUA